rnacentral:rRNA from 1 species
AAAGAAACCAACAGGGAUUGCCCUAGUAACGGCGAGUGAAGCGGCAACAGCUCAAAUUUGAAAUCUGGCCCUUGGGUCCGAGUUGUAAUUUGUAGAGGAUGCUUUUGGUGCGGUGCCUUCCGAGUUCCCUGGAACGGGACGCCAUAGAGGGUGAGAGCCCCGUCUGGUUGGAUGCCAAACCUCUGUAAAGCUCCUUCGACGAGUCGAGUAGUUUGGGAAUGCUGCUCUAAAUGGGAGGUAUAUGUCUUCUAAAGCUAAAUACCGGCCAGAGACCGAUAGCGCACAAGUAGAGUGAUCGAAAGAUGAAAAGCACUUUGAAAAGAGAGUUAAAAAGUACGUGAAAUUGUUGAAAGGGAAGCGCUCAUGACCAGACUUGGGCUUGGUUGAUCAUCCUGGGUUCUCCCUGGUGCACUCUUCCAGUUCAGGCCAGCAUCAGUUCGCUGCGGGGGAUAAAAGCUUCGGGAAUGUGGCUCCUCCGGGAGUGUUAUAGCCCGUUGCAUAAUACCCUGCUCCGGACUGAGGUUCGCGCAUCUGCAAGGAUGCUGGCGUAAUGGUCAUCAGCGACCCGUCUUGAAACACGGACCAAGGAGUCGUCUUCGUAUGCGAGUGUUCGGGUGUUAAACCCCUACGCGUAAUGAAAGUGAACGCAGGUGAGAGCUUCGGCGCAUCAUCGACCGAUCCUGAUGUUCUCGGAUGGAUUUGAGUAAGAGCAUACGGGGCCGGACCCGAAAGAAGGUGAACUAUGCCUGUAUAGGGUGAAGCCAGAGGAAACUCUGGUGGAGGCUCGCAGCGGUUCUGACGUGCAAAUCGAUCGUCAAAUAUGGGCAUGGGGGCGAAAGACUAAUCGAACCUUCUAGUAGCUGGUUUCCGCCGAAGUUUCCCUCAGGA